rnacentral:rRNA from 1 species
CCUACGGGGCGCAGCAGUGGGGAAUAUUGGGCAAUGGGCGCAAGCCUGACCCAGCAACGCCGCGUGAAGGAAGAAGGCUUUCGGGUUGUAAACUUCUUUUGACAGGGAAGAGCAGAAGACGGUACCUGUCGAAUAAGCCACGGCUAACUACGUGCCAGCAGCCGCGGUAAUACGUAGGUGGCAAGCGUUGUCCGGAUUUACUGGGUGUAAAGGGCGCGUAGGCGGCUGUGUAAGCCAGAAGUGAAAGCCCGGGGCUCAACUCCGGGACUGCUUUUGGAACUACAUGGCUUGAUUGCAGGAGAGGC